rnacentral:lncRNA from 1 species
AGAGCCCGCCUGGCAGGACUACUGAGCAAGGCCUUGGAAAAUCGGAGCGAUUAGAGCGGUUCAAACAAUACAGAAGUGUAUAAAGUAAGAAUUGAAAGUCUCUUCGCUGCUCUAAUCUCACUCCUCAGAGGUGAUCACUGCUGUCUUGUUGAUGGGGGUGCACCCUGACGAAUGGUGUGCUGGCAAAGAUUUAACAAAAGGCUCCAGAGGAGGGCAGACUUGAAGUGGAGCCUUCAGUGGGCAGUGUGAAGGGUGCUGAUUUCAAACAACUCAUCUGGUAUGACUGAACAUGAAGUUGGGAAGAGAUGUGCAUAAUUGAAGUGGGUGAGAGCCAGUCCAGCACCCUGCAGAGAGUGUGGAAGAUGAUCAAAGUAUGACAUUUCUUCUACCCCAGAGGCUGGCAUUUCUGCAGGCACAAAUGAGCUUGGUUUUCAAGCACUGCUCUUUGAACACAAGGAAUUCCUUUAAUGAUCACGCCGGACUAUAUAGACUUUGGAAUCAGACUCUUUGAAUUCCAGCUCUGCCAUUUACCAACUUUGACACUUUGGACAACGUCUCAUUCUGUCACCCAGGCUGGAGUGCAGUGGCACAAUUAUAGCUCACUGCAGCCUCAAACACCUGGGCUCAAGCAAUCCUUCCACCUCUGCCUCCUGAGUAAUUGGGACUACAGGCAUGUGCCACCACACCCAGCUAAUUUUUAAUUUUUAAUUUUUUUGUAGAGAUGGCGGUCUUGCUAUGUCACCCAGGCUGGUCUUGAACACCUGGCCUCAAGUGAUCCUCCGGCCUUGGUCUCUCAAAGCUCUGGGAUUACAGACAUGAGCCACUGCACCCGGCUCUAUCUCCCCUUCCUAUGUGUGUUAGCUCUAGAACAAGAGAAGCCUUGUUGAGAUUCCUGGCUGCCCACCCCCCAUCACCUCUCUGACUUUGGGCAAGUUGCCUGGCCUCUCUCAGCCUUUAUUUUCUUUUUGUGAAAUGGGGAUAAUAAUAGUACUUGCCUCAUAGGCAAAAUGUUGUGAGAACUAAACGAGAAAAUGCAUGUAAAGCACUUGGCACUUAGUUCUUUUUAUGAUUAUAAUGAUAAUCAGACACAAUAAAUUAUGUCUCACAUCACA